GCCCUGUCUUCAGCAGCCGCAAGCUCCAGCCUCCAUCUUCCUGCUCGAGCGCGCGCCCUGCUCCCUGCGUGCCCGGCCCCAAGCCCCAUGGCGCUCCUCUCUUCUCGGUUUCAAGCUUCUGCGCGCUCCUCUCCCCCUCCCAUGGUCGAGUGUCCAGCUGAGCUUCCCCGAGCCGCGACUCCCGUCGUGGAGCUUCCCCGCCGCCCCAGCUCGAGUCUCCCUCGCCGACGCGCGCCCCUCCCUCUGUUCGCUCACGCGCAGCCGCGCCCCUCUGGUUCGGCCGCCCAUCUCCCCGAGCUUGCCCCGGCGCUCAGAUUUCUCCCUCUCGGCCUCCAGUCCAGCCGCAUGCUCCUCCCUGCACCCAGCUCGGACC
rnacentral:misc_RNA from 1 species